UGNGCCUNGUCCACGCCCUAAACGAUGUCAACUAGCUGUUGGGCCCUUCGGGGCUUAGUAGCGCAGCUAACGCGUGAAGUUGACCGCCUGGGGAGUACGGUCGCAAGAUUAAAACUCAAAGGAAUUGACGGGGACCCGCACAAGCGGUGGAUGAUGUGGAUUAAUUCGAUGCAACGCGAAAAACCUUACCUACCCUUGACAUGUCUGGAAUCCUGAAGAGAUUUAGGAGUGCUCGCAAGAGAACCGGAACACAGGUGCUGCAUGGCUGUCGNCAGCUCGUGUCGUGAGAUGUUGGGUUAAGUCCCGCAACGAGCGCAACCCUUGUCAUUAGUUGCUACAUUUAGUNGGAGCACUCUUAAUGAGACUGCCGGUGAAAANNCCCGAGGAAGGUGGGGUUGACGUCAAGUUCCCCAAUGGCCCUUUUGGGUUGGGUUCCANANC
rnacentral:rRNA from 1 species